GAUAUAAUCUGGGUGAUAAUCAGUGUAAACGAGAGUGGUUUGUUAGGAGUAACACAGCAGUUAUCUGAGCUUGGACACGAGUCAACACUAUCUCCUAUCAAACAAAAUGAACAUAGACCAUCAGGAUUCAACCCAUUUUCAUAUAUAGAGAUUCCUCCUGUACCUUUUAACAGUCCAGUUAAACCUUUAGAUCAAGAGGUCAGAAAUGGUAGGAGAAACUCACAUGACAACACAGAGGUAAAGUUAAUACAUCUUCUUUAAGCCUGUUUGUGCACAGCUAACCGGGACCUGAAAGUCUAUUUUAGGCUUUGCCAUGGCAUCUGUUUUGAACCUCGGGAGAAGGCCUAGUGAAAUUCGUGAACUUGGUCUUACGCCUGUAUUCUAAAAGGUCACACACACUCAAUGAGUGGAGGUUCAACAUGAGCUUCUCUUGCGUGUCGAUGCUGUUUUUGAAUAGCUGGAGGAUUAGUAGUCACUUAGUAAGGUAUGAAACUAGCCCUCCAGCUAUUCAAAAACAGCACUCACACUCAAGAAAAGCUCAGAUUGAACUUCCACUCAUGGAGUGUGAGUGAGCUUUUAGAACACGGGCGUUAGUCCUUAAUUCAUAAAGUAACCUUACCUGAACGGCCAGUACUUGUAUUUCCUUCCAGACCGAAACAUCUUCAUUGUUUGUCCCAAUGACAUCAAGUUAUAGAAAAAUAUCAAUGUGAAUAUGUAGAACCUAGGGCCGCUCGAAGGGCAAGAAUGGUUACAAGAGGGGCUGAUUUGUGAAUUGUUCUAGGCCUUCUCACUUCUCGUCCCCUUUAAAGUCAGGCUGCACGCAGGCUACCCGUCUCUCCCCAGCCUACCAUCGCGAAAGGCAGGAAUUAGGUUGAGAUCAUCCAUGAUUAAUUUUAAUGAAUAAUUAAAUUUAACAAAUCCUUAACAAAUCUCAUGGCUCGAAAUAACGUUUCCAAUGUUCCCGAUCAUGGUGAUCAGCAGUCAUGAUUUUCUGCUGAUCAAAUGAAAAUCUGUCCGAUCAGUAUGGGAUACGUUCUGUUUAUAUGUUCUGUGAUAAAUGAUAAUGCCAUAGUAUUGCAUACUGUUCGUUAACGACAUUAACCAUGUUUUUGAGACAUUGGUUCUUACCGAUCAAGAUGAUCGGCAACCUUGUUUCUCUGCCGAUCAAUAUCAAUUUCCUGCCGAUCAUUGUUCGUUGAUCGGUCGUUAUUUCAUGCCCUGGAAUCUUAACAAAUCUUUUAUUUUCAGCAUACCAACAGUAGUUCCACUUCAAAAGAUUGUCAAUGACGACUAAUAUAUAGGUCUCUCGACCUGUCAAGACCCUGUGCAAGGUGGAUUUAUCUGCAAGGAUCACAUGGAUGCCUCACCAGGAGUGUUGGACCCUCUCGAGUGACCAUAAUCGACUGUAGUUGAUCUGCUGUGCGUAAAGUGCUUCGAUCUACCAACAGGAUUGUUCCAGGAAAAGUUUGUCUUCAUUUUUUAUAAAGUACCGUAACUCUAUAGUUAAACAUGCUAGAAUUGCUUUUGUUUUCACGGAAACACCUAUACUGUAAUAAUAUUUGGCAAUGGUUUCGGAGACUUCUCUAAGCUGUGUUUACAAGACUAGGCCUGACCAGUUGUUCACUUAGUUAAUAAGCGUCAGGUCCUAAUAACUAGCUGUCAGUCACUUGACUCCAUAAGAAUUUUCGUAAAAAAAUUAAAACAGAAAGACGUGUGUAGACUGCAGUUUUAACCUACAUGGCUUAAGAAGUGGACACCGCUGUCGAUGCACCAGUACCCCAACUAUAGAAGUGUGACUUAAUUUGCGUCCCAAAUAUUAUUACAAUUUUAUAAUGCACCUGUUCAUGUUCGACCAAGAAUAUUGGUAAUUCAUAGGAUUAGAGCACAAUAAUUGUGAGAUAAACUAUAAAAUUAUGAGAUUGAUUUCUUGUUAAAACUUCUCAAAAAAUAGCGUUUCUAAGCAUAAUCAAAACUUUUCUGGGAAAGCAUGACCCCGAGACCCUCCUGGAAGUUUCUCGCGCUGCUCGACUGCGAUUUUAAUUAUCUCGUUAUUCACCACACUCGUAAAGUCUCACAGCAUGUUAACACGAUUUGUUCAGACUGCUUGUUCUCAAUUAUUGAUAAGUCUGAGACAAGUUGUUAUCAUCUUGCAACAAGCUUGAUGAGGCCAACAGACUCGUAACUAGUUGUUAUACGUGCGGACAGCCUGUGAACAGGCUGUAUCAGUCUGUACUAAUUGACUUGCAGCAAGUCUGUUACCGUCGUCAACCUUUUAAUAUUAAGGUGAUAAUAACUUGUUCCAGACUUUUCACAACAACGUGGAACAAGAUUUGCGAACACAUCCUAUUAUCGGCUUGAAAACAACCUUUUCACAACUUGUCUGCAGAUCUGUAAUGCGCGUUUUUUUCCUGUGUAGUUUAAAUGCACAUGUGUUUUUCUCCCUACUCUACUAACUUCCCCACGAAAGAUCGUCGCUCCAAUGGACCUAUUACCUAAUGAACAAAAUUUUGAUCUAGACAAAAAUUUCAUCACAGCGUGAAAGAGCAUCACUAAAUUAGUGAUAUUCCGAAAUUGCGCGUUGCGAAAUGUUGUAAAAUGCGGACAAUAUAGUCCUGCGAAAUUUGCCGUUUUUCAGUCAUUUUGUAUUACGCAUGGAAAAUUGAUACCACUUUCUGAAAAAAAGGUAUCAAUUUCCCGUGCGUAAUACAAAAUGGCUAAAAAACGGUAAACUUCGCAGGGCUAUAUUAUCCGCAUUUUACAACAUUUCGCAACGAAGCCUCGGAAUAUAACUAAUUUUGUGAUGCUCUUUCAAGCUGUGAUGAAAUUUUUGUCUAGACUUGUCUAGAUCAAAAUUUUGUUCAUUAUGUAAUAGGUCCAAUGACGUCGAAGUUCAUGAAGAUGUUCGUAAUUAUUUCCUAUUCUUCACUACAUCCACUGGCACACAACGUUCGCGAUAUUCUUGAAAUUAGACCACCAUGCUUUUAGCCUUGUAUUGUAAACACAGCUUUUAUGAAAACAUCAAUAACGUUCCAAAUUGAAAAGUGUGGUCUUUUCCGCAAAAUCAAAAUAACAGAAGGAGCUCUAACUUAUAAUAAUAUUCUACCUAACGUGAUAAAUUUUGCUUAGCCAUUCGUGGUUUACUUUCAUGAUAGCAGUCUUAUGACUAAUGACAAGUGACUACACCAGCAAUUUUUGCUGCAACUUGCAAUGCAAUUUCGAACACACAGCCAUGUUAUCUAAAAAGUAGUCGCAAGGAAUUAUCCAGCGUUGGCCAAUACAUUCCACUCUCCUUCCACUUUGUUUACAUAACAUACUCAUGGGGAUGAAUUACCAAAAAAAAUGAAUGAAAAAUUUUAGCAAAUUUUUAGCAUAGAAAAAUUUUGCAAUACAGGGUGUCCCAAAAAAAAGUGACACUAUAGAAAUUAUCCUAUUGUUAUAAUUUGAAUGCCUUAGCACUAAGUUAAUCUCACAGGUGAUAAACUUCUGCUUCUGGAAUUUAAAAUAAAAAAGCAAACCGUUUAUUAGUGUAAUCGUUUUGCUUGACUCGGGUGUUAAAAUAUUUGGACAAAGCAAAAACGUUUUAAAAUGCUUAAAUGUAAAUACAAGUUCAUUAAAUUCCCAGGCGUGUAAUCACGCGCGUUUAAGAGCGGCUUAAGAACUGAUGAGAUAAUUUCUAUAGUGUCACUUUUUUUUGGGACAUCCUGUACAUUUGCAUUCUACUCUGAAGAUUCCUAUAGGGGAUGAAAUAACAAAGAAAUGGAAUGAAAAAGUUUGGCAUAAUAAACCGUGGACUAUUCUCACAAUUUCCCCUCCACUGCGUUGUAAAUGACAUUGUUCGAUGUCAGAAACUGCGUUGCAAGUUACAACAAGAAUUGGCUCGUGUGUAUAUGACUUUUAAACAUAGGUUCUUGGUAUUACUGUUGCUUAAGGAGUACAAACAUGCCAUAAUGUUCUCAAGUUCGUUACUUUUUAUAUAAUUUAUUUUACAUCUUUUAUUUAAAAGUGGAAAACCUAUUGGAUCAGUGUUGAGUAAUAAUAAAAGUAUAGGUUAAUAGUAGAAGAAUAAUAUAAUUAUAUUAGGUGAUUAUAUACGCCUUUUCGGGGUUUGCGACACCAUCUUGCCAAGUUUAGCAAACACAAUAGAAUAACAAUACCAUGUAUGACCUUAGGGACAAGUAUGGCCACAGUUGGGACGAGGCACAGGUUUUACUAUUGUGUUUACCCCACUUGGCAAACUGAUGUCGCGGACCCCGAAAAAACGUAUUAAGGUCCAGACACACCGGACGCGAUUCGACAACGCGACUCGAUUUUUUAGUUUUUGAAAGUUAAUAAAACAGUCAAUGAGAGCAAAUUUCGAAAGAUAUGUAGACCAAAUGACUCAAAAUGUCAUAGCGCUUCUAAAUAUUUGGAAAAUUUACACUAGAAUCAAAGUUAUCGGACAGUGAAAAUCGAAAAAUCGCAUCGCGUUGUCGAAUCGCGUCCGGUGUGUCUGGACAGGCUCAUUUCAGACGGAGUACUUUUCAUGUGCCGAAUCCCCUUGACGAACUGGAUUCGACAGAAGAUCGACUUCUGAGCAUUGAAAUGAAUAUAACUGGAACGCUACCUCCAACCGGAAAUUUGAAGGCAAACUUGAAGGCCAGUCCCAGUCUUUUCAUGCAUGCGAAGAGCACUCGAUCAGUCAAUCAUCAUAUAAACACGCAAGUCUUCACGUCAGACUUUGACUGCAAGAAUAAUAUAGGCAGUAUAUCUGAAGGUAACGUUCCAGUUGUAUUCAUUUCAAUGCAUAUGAAUGAAUGUACGGCAGAAUUUGGAGCGGCAAAAGUUGGGCAGAACCUGUCGCAUUAUGCAAUGUUAGAACAUUGCUUAGUACGCCGCUCCAUUCAUCUGCCAAAACUAACUCAACUUUUUAAAAUGUGUUUGUAUUAGAUUAGCCAUCUUGUAUUUAAAUUAGACGUAUUUGUUUUUAAUUUUAAAUAGGAUUUGCUCGCGAAUGCGCCCAGCCUUGUCAAUAACAUAUUUUGUACCUAACGCGUUUUGAAUUACCGCAGUUCUUCAGUGUCGCAUCUAAUUAAUGCAAUCAAGUUCCGCACAUGAAGAGCACGUCGUCUGAAACGGGCGUCAGACUAUGGUCGUUAUAUAUAGAAUGUAAUGUGUUGUUCAAUUUAUUCUAGAAAUAAAAUUUCUAACCAUGGAAUCGUGCAAUUAGUAUCACAGAUUCUAACCAUGGAAUCGUGCAAUUAGUGUCACAGGAGUUAUUUUUACUCUGCGAGUGAUUUUUGAAAAAUGUGCUAAAAUUGUACCAGGCGCCGAGGCAAGCAAGUGCAAUUUCGCACAUCUUUCAAAAAUCACGAGUAGUUUUAAUAAUUAAUGCACGACUUGCCCGUGUGAUUAUCUAUUGUAUACAUGACAAAAGUAUAGCUGCACUCGGUAUUGGUGUCACGUGAAUGCAAACAACAUUCACAAACACAUUUUAUAAUUGUAACCCGGGCUGGCCAGGAUGAUCGGGAUGAUUUACUUAAUUUAAUAAAGCUUUUAUCACAGC